GGAAAAUACAAUGCGUGCAAACAGACCCUCAGUUCAAGAGGAAAAACUGUACUUAAUCAUCUUGCCAGCUUCCUUUCUGCCCCCCCCUCCAGCUUGAGUUUCAGUAUCAUCAAAUAGGAGCAAGUCCCAGGUUUUUUUUUUGCUUUCCUGCUCGCUGCCUGGUUGUCUCUGAGCCCCCCCCCUCUCUCCUUCCCUCCUCACUUUCUUCCCCAGCUGAACGCAAAACCUGAGUGGGCCCGGCUCUCUUGCUUCAGUAUUUAAACACCUCCACCAGGUCCCUAGUUAGCAGCUCUCUCCGGCUCAUCCAAGAAGCUGACAAGUACGGUUAGAGGAGGCUGUACAUGUUGCUCUAAUGGACCUCAUUAAGUUCUACUUACAGAUGUUCUCUUAACAUAAUUGAUCUGCGAUGAAAACUUUAAGGAACAAUGAAGAAGAGAAACGAAGGAUUUUCGCCACUGGAUGGGAAAUGGACCAAAGCUGGCCUGGAAGAAAGGGCUCUUGGGACCACAUUUGUGUAUGUUUUCUCCACCUGGUGAUGGGUAGAACGCCCUACUCCUCUGGUUCGUCUCCUGAUGAAAGGCCAAGCUGAGUCACGCGGCACAAGUGUGUGUCUGCUUGCACUUGCGCCAACCACAAUGCGGGAGAGGGUGUCUGUCAAGUGAUUGCCUUCAGCAGAGGGACGUGAGCUGGUUUACCACCCGUGCUAGCUUUUUGAAUUUGGGGCGAGCCAAGCCCAAACCAUGGAGGACACUUGAGCCUUAAUGCAACCCCUUUGAGACCUUCACUUGAAAGCCAACCUCUUCUUCCCCCUGCCUAGAGCACCCUUUGAACCAGUUAGUCGAGUAUGCGUGCUAUGAGCCACCAACCCCGUCCAAAGCACGUUCAGAAUAUGAGGCCACAAACUGCAGGUUGCAAAUUUUUGCUCUGCUCUGAAAGGACUUGCCAGUUGACAAUCAUAUUUCAUCCUCAUCGUUAUUAGAAUCCUUUUUUGCAUCACCAUGGGAACAUUCUGGAAAGUCUGUUUCAAGCUCCCACAUCGCCUGGGCUUCAUCUGAACAUACUUACUCAUACUUACUCCUUGAGUUCAAUGAAAAUCUCAUCCUAUGAUUUCUUGACCUCUCUGUUUCACGUGAUCCCAUUCACUUCAUUUGCUAUAGUGUCUUCUGCCAAAUAUGGCCUUACUAUAUAUGUAUACAGUGGUGCCUCGCAUA